ACUUUGUAGCAUACAAAGUUCAGUGGCGCACGGGUGCGUAACGCGUAUGCAACCUACCUUAAACUGGGGGAUAGCCUUCCGAAAGGGAGAUUAAUACCGCAUAAGAUCACGAGAGGGCAUCUGAUUGUGAUUAAAGAUUUAUUGGUUUAAGAUGGGCAUGCGUGCCAUUAGCUAGUUGGUAGUGUAACGGACUACCAAGGCGACGAUGGCUAGGGGUUCUGAGAGGAUGAUCCCCCACACUGGUACUGAGAUACGGACCAGACUCCUACGGGAGGCAGCAGUAGGGAAUAUUGGGCAAUGGACGGAAGUCUGACCCAGCCAUGCCGCGUGCAGGAUGAAGGCCUUCUGGGUUGUAAACUGCUUUUAUCUAGGAAGAAAACGCCCAUGCGUGGGAAACUGACGGUACUAGAUGAAUAAGCACCGGCUAACUCCGUGCCAGCAGCCGCGGUAAUACGGAGGGUGCAAGCGUUGUCCGGAUUUAUUGGGUUUAAAGGGUGCGUAGGCGGCCCGUUAAGUCAGUGGUGAAAGCCUCCAGCUCAACUGGAGAACUGCCAUUGAUACUGGCGGGCUUGAGUACAGACGAGGUUGGCGGAAUUGAUUGUGUAGCGGUGAAAUGCAUAGAUACAAUCAAGAACACCGAUUGCGUAGGCAGCUAACUAGGCUGUAACUGACGCUGAGGCACGAAAGCGUGGGGAGCGAACAGGAUUAGAUACCCUGGUAGUCCACGCUGUAAACGAUGAUUACUCGAUGUCGGCGAUAAACUGUCGGCGUCUUAGCGAAAGCGUUAAGUAAU
rnacentral:rRNA from 1 species